rnacentral:rRNA from 1 species
GACGAACGCUGGCGGCGUGCUUAACACAUGCAAGUCGAACGGAAAGGCCUGUCCUUCCUUGUGUUGGACGGGUACUCGAGUGGCGAACGGGUGAGUAACACGUGAGUGAUCUGCCCCCAACUUGGGUAUAAGCCUGGGAAACUGGGUCUAAUUCCCGAUAGGACUGCAGGGUGGUGCCUGUGGUGGAAAACGAUUUUCUAGUGGUUGGGGAUGAGCUCGCGGCCUAUCAGCUUGUUGGUGGGGUAAUGGCCUACCAAGGCGGCGACGGGUAGCCGGCCUGAGAGGGUGGACGGCCACAUUGGGACUGGGAUACGGCCCAGACUCCUACGGGAGGCAGCAGUGGGGAAGAUUGCACAGUGGGCGGAAGCCUGAUGCAGCGACGCCGCGUGGGGGAUGACGGCCUUCGGGUUGUAAACUCCUUGCGACCGCGAGGAAGCCGCCUGGUUGGAAGGGUGGUGACGGUAGUGGUAGAAGAAGCACCGGCUAACUACGUG